UCUGCCUUUGGUAUGAUCAGUAGACUCUACGAUUCUGAGUGUAGUCUACGAUUCUUGACUUGACUUUGGCAGAUGCUCGGUCGGCUCGUAGGCAGGCUGUCUCUACGAUUCUAAACAUGACUUCCUUAGCAGACUACAGCCCUGAGGAAGUUCUCCUCGACACACUACAAUCCUUCCUCGUCUCUCUUGGCAGUCUACGAACUCCGAGAUCUACUAUCUUGCAGACUACG
rnacentral:lncRNA from 1 species